rnacentral:rRNA from 1 species
AGCAGCCGCGGUAAUUCCAGCUCCAAUAGCGUAUAUUAAAGUUGUUGCAGUUAAAAAGUUCGUAGUUGAAUUUCGGGGUUAGUAGGUUGGUCAUGCCUCUGGUAUGUACUGGUCUCACUGAUUCCUCCUUCCUGAUGAACCUUAAUGCCAUUAAUUUGGUGUUUUGGGGAAUUUGGACUGUUACUUUGAAAAAAUUAGAGUGUUUAAAGCAAGCUAACGCUUGAAUACAUUAGCAUGGAAUAAUGAAAUAGGACGUUCGAUCCUAUUUUGUUGGUUUCUAGGAUUGACGUAAUGAUUAAUAGGGAUAGUUGGGGGCAUUAGUAUUCAAUUGUCAGAGGUGAAAUUCUUGGAUUUAUUGAAGACUAACUACUGCGAAAGCAUUUGCCAAGGAUGUUUUCAUUAAUCAAGAACGAAAGUUAGGGGAUCGAAGACGAUCAGAUACCGUCGUAGUCUUAACCAUAAACUAUGCCGACUAGGGAUCGGAUGAUGUUAAUUUUUUAAUGACUCAUUCGGCGCCUUACG